rnacentral:sRNA from 1 species
AUGUACUUAAGUACAUUCCGGUUCGUCCGCUCCGUCCAUCACAGGCUGACGGCCUCUCGCUACAGAUCGUAAACA